ACUCAAAGGAAUUGACGGGACCCCGCACAAGCGGUGGAGCAUGUGGAUUAAUUCGAUACUAACCGAAGAACCUUACCCAGGUUUGACAUCAAUGGAAACCCUGUGAAAGCAGGGCCCCUCCCCACAAGGGAGGCCAGAAGACACCUGUUGCAUGGCUGUCGUCAGCUCGUGCCGUGAGGUGUAGGGUUAAGUCCUCUAACGAGCGCAACCCACGUCCUAUGUUGCCAGCGGGUAAAGCCGGGAACUCAUAGGAGACCGCCGGUGUAAAUCGGAGGAAGGCGUGGAUGACGUCAAGUCAGCAUGGCGGUUACGCCUGGGGCUUCACACAUGCUACAAUGGGCGAAACAAAGGGCAGCAAAGCCGCGAGGUGGAGCUAAUCCCAAAAAUACGCCCCCAGUUCAGAUUGCAGUCUGCAACUCGACUGCAUGAAGGCGGAAUCGCUAGUAAACGCAGGUCAGCUAUACUGCGUUGAAUACGUUCCCGGGGUUUGUACACACCGCCCGU
rnacentral:rRNA from 1 species